rnacentral:lncRNA from 10 species
AUUCAAUCUCCUUGUGCCUUGAUUUCCUUAUCAAUAAGUGAUUUGUUUUUAAAGAAGGAUUCACAAGCAAACAUAUCUGGUUUUUUUGUUUGUUUGUUUUUGAGACAGAGUCUCGCUCUGUUGUCCAGGCUGGAGUGCAGUGAUGCGAUCUUGACUCACUGCAACCUCCGCCUCCCAGGAGUUCAAGCGAUCCUCCUGCCUCAGUCUUCCGAGUAGCUGGGACUACAGGCAUGUGCCACCACACCCAGCUACUAUUUUUGUAUUUUUUUGUAGAGAUGGUUUCGCCAUGUUGGCCAGGCUGGUCUUGAACCCUUGACCUCAGGUGAUCCACCAGCCUCGGCCUCACAAAGUGCUGGGAUUACAGGUAUGAGCCACCACGCCCAGCCUGCAAACAUAUGUUGAACUCUUUGCACAGUGCCCUGCAUGAGAUAGAUGACAGCUCCUUCUUCCAUGUUGUUAAUUUGGUGUGAGUAUAUGUUAUAUGUAUGUAUAUGCAAGAUAAUAAUCUUCUUGUAACCACUGACAGGCCUUUUUGUGAAUGAUGAUGGAAAAAGCAAGAACCUUGUCCAGGUUCCUCUCCAGGGAGCAGGGGUGGGUUGUGAUUCUUGAUUUCAUUCCUUUAGAUAUGAAGAGUUUUCACACAGAGGCAGCACGAAUUUGUCUCUCUCCUAGAGGGUGGGGAGAGUUGCUGGGUGGAUAUAACUGCAUCACAGCCUUUCUGGGUAAACUGGCCACUCCCUACUGAUUUGUUAUCAUGCUAAAUGUGUCUCCUCCCUUCCUUUCUGGAGCUUUUGCAGCUGUUCCUGGAAGGAGACCCAGUUGAAAGGGGUUGUUAUGGACCAGGAACAGCUGGGAUCUUUAAUGAUCUGUGAGCAGCUUACAGCAAAGUUCCAACACCCUGAGUAUCAGUCCCCAAAUCCUUGGUCUUUGCAUUCCAACACAAAGUAAAAAGGAUUGAGCAGGGUUUUGGUUUUGGUUGCAAGUAACAGAAACCCAACGCUAAUUAAUAAACGGGAAAGUGUGUCAGUGGAAAUGUAAGUAAGAAGAGAUUUCAUUUACUGGCCAAUUCAAAAGAUGACAAGCUUUAGGCGUGGCUCAGUCCAGUGGCUCAUGAUGUCUUCAGGACUCAGUGUUUCUCUGUUGUCAUCUCUUAGUUCUAUUAUUUUUUCUGUGUUGGUUCAUUAUGAGGUUUCCUUUAGAGGGUGGCAGAGAAAGCCACUAGUUGCUUCAAGUCUUUAUUUUACCAGCUCCACAAGUCCGACGGAAAGAGAAAACUGCUUUCCCAAAGGGUGUAAGAGGAUGAAAGGCAUGUCAUCAGCUGAAUUGCAUCAGGUGUCCAUCUUGGAAUCAAUCACGGUGCCUCUUAUUAGCAAAGCCUGAGUCAUAGAGCUUUCUCCAGCUGGUAGAAAAAGGGGAAGUAUGAGACUUAAAGGUGGAGGUGGCCCCAUGGAAAAGACCUAAGGGUAGCCUGCGGGAACUGAGAGAAAACCCCAACUGGCAGCCAGCAAGAAAACAGGGACCUUAAUCUUACGACCACAAGGAACUGGACUCUGCUACCAGAAUGAGCUGCAAGGGAGAUUCUUCCUCAGAAGCUUCAGAUAAGAACUCCACCUGGCUGACCUUUGAUUUUGGUUUUGUGAGAACUUUGGCAGAUAACCCAGGCAUGUGUCAUUUCACAUCUGCAUAAAAAGACAUGCUGAAGGAUGUUCCUUGCAGAAUGGUUAUAGAGAAAAAUGGGAAUAACCACGAUAUAAAGUAACAGUUGGUAUUGAAACUGGUAGAAAUUCCUCACUUUGUGCUUGACAUGUGGUUGGCACCAUUCCUGGUUCACGGCUGAUGUCCUACCCCCACCCCAUCUCCCUCCACUUUGGUAAUUUCAGCCGUUUUCCUGGAGGGGAG